GAUGAACGCUAGCUACAGGCUUAACACAUGCAAGUCGAGGGGCAGCAUUUUAGUUUGCUUGCAAACUAAAGAUGGCGACCGGCGCACGGGUGAGUAACACGUAUCCAACCUGCCGAUAACUCGGGGAUAGCCUUUCGAAAGAAAGAUUAAUAUCCGAUAGUAUAUUAAAACCGCAUGGUUUUACUAUUAAAGAAUUUCGGUUAUCGAUGGGGAUGCGUUCCAUUAGUUUGUUGGCGGGGUAACGGCCCACCAAGACUACGAUGGAUAGGGGUUCUGAGAGGAAGGUCCCCCACAUUGGAACUGAGACACGGUCCAAACUCCUACGGGAGGCAGCAGUGAGGAAUAUUGGUCAAUGGACGAGAGUCUGAACCAGCCAAGUAGCGUGAAGGAUGACUGCCCUAUGGGUUGUAAACUUCUUUUAUAUGGGAAUAAAGUAUUCCACGUGUGGGAUUUUGUAUGUACCAUAUGAAUAAGGAUCGGCUAACUCCGUGCCAGCAGCCGCGGUAAUACGGAGGAUCCGAGCGUUAUCCGGAUUUAUUGGGUUUAAAGGGAGCGUAUGUGGAUUGUUAAGUCAGUUGUGAAAGUUUGCGGCUCAACCGUAAAAUUGCAGUUGAAACUGGCAGUCUUGAGUACAGUAGAGGUGGGCGGAAUUCGUGGUGUAGCGGUGAAAUGCUUAGAUAUCACGAAGAACUCCGAUUGCGAAGGCAGCUCACUAGACUGCAACUGACACUGAUGCUCGAAAGUGUGGGUAUCAAACAGGAUUAGAUACCCUGGUAGUCCACACAGUAAACGAUGAAUACUCGCUGUUUGCGAUAUACAGUAAGCGGCCAAGCGAAAGCAUUAAGUAUUCCACCUGGGGAGUACGCCGGCAACGGUGAAACUCAAAGGAAUUGACGGGGGCCCGCACAAGCGGAGGAACAUGUGGUUUAAUUCGAUGAUACGCGAGGAACCUUACCCGGGCUUAAAUUGCAUUUGAAUAAUCUGGAAACAGGUUAGCCGCAAGGCAAAUGUGAAGGUGCUGCAUGGUUGUCGUCAGCUCGUGCCGUGAGGUGUCGGCUUAAGUGCCAUAACGAGCGCAACCCUUAUCUUUAGUUACUAACAGGUCAUGCUGAGGACUCUAGAGAGACUGCCGUCGUAAGAUGUGAGGAAGGUGGGGAUGACGUCAAAUCAGCACGGCCCUUACGUCCGGGGCUACACACGUGUUACAAUGGGGGGUACAGAAGGCAGCUACCUGGCGACAGGAUGCUAAUCCCAAAAACCUCUCUCAGUUCGGAUCGAAGUCUGCAACCCGACUUCGUGAAGCUGGAUUCGCUAGUAAUCGCGCAUCAGCCAUGGCGCGGUGAAUACGUUCCCGGGCCUUGUACACACCGCCCGUCAAGCCAUGAAAGCCGGGGGUACCUGAAGUACGUAACCGCAAGGAGCGUCCUAGGGUAAAACUGGUAA
rnacentral:rRNA from 1 species